UAAGGGCUGUUAUUCUUUCUACCAUACUCAUUAUACCAUAAAAUAUUUCAGAAAAAGGAUAUUGUCAAAAAGAGAGUUAGAAGAUCAGAAGCAUGGAUACUGUAUUAUUAGGAUUGAGAAAAAAGCAGGUGUCACACACAGGCUGAAUAAUCAAGGAUGAUUCAAUAAAGACAAUUUAUAAAGGUAAGGGGAAGGGUAGAGAAACCACAGGGAUGGGGCAGCACCACAGGGCUAGUGACAGCAC
rnacentral:lncRNA from 10 species